UUUAUGGAGAGUUUGAUCCUGGCUCAGGAUGAACGCUGGCGGCGUGCCUAAUACAUGCAAGUCGAGCGAACGGACGAGAAGCUUGCUUCUCUGAUGUUAGCGGCGGACGGGUGAGUAACACGUGGAUAACCUACCUAUAAGACUGGGAUAACUUCGGGAAACCGGAGCUAAUACCGGAUAAUAUUUUGAACCGCAUGGUUCAAAAGUGAAAGACGGUCUUGCUGUCACUUAUAGAUGGAUCCGCGCUGCAUUAGCUAGUUGGUAAGGUAACGGCUUACCAAGGCAACGAUGCAUAGCCGACCUGAGAGGGUGAUCGGCCACACUGGAACUGAGACACGGUCCAGACUCCUACGGGAGGCAGCAGUAGGGAAUCUUCCGCAAUGGGCGAAAGCCUGACGGAGCAACGCCGCGUGAGUGAUGAAGGUCUUCGGAUCGUAAAACUCUGUUAUUAGGGAAGAACAUAUGUGUAAGUAACUGUGCACAUCUUGACGGUACCUAAUCAGAAAGCCACGGCUAACUACGUGCCAGCAGCCGCGGUAAUACGUAGGUGGCAAGCGUUAUCCGGAAUUAUUGGGCGUAAAGCGCGCGUAGGCGGUUUUUUAAGUCUGAUGUGAAAGCCCACGGCUCAACCGUGGAGGGUCAUUGGAAACUGGAAAACUUGAGUGCAGAAGAGGAAAGUGGAAUUCCAUGUGUAGCGGUGAAAUGCGCAGAGAUAUGGAGGAACACCAGUGGCGAAGGCGACUUUCUGGUCUGUAACUGACGCUGAUGUGCGAAAGCGUGGGGAUCAAACAGGAUUAGAUACCCUGGUAGUCCACGCCGUAAACGAUGAGUGCUAAGUGUUAGGGGGUUUCCGCCCCUUAGUGCUGCAGCUAACGCAUUAAGCACUCCGCCUGGGGAGUACGACCGCAAGGUUGAAACUCAAAGGAAUUGACGGGGACCCGCACAAGCGGUGGAGCAUGUGGUUUAAUUCGAAGCAACGCGAAGAACCUUACCAAAUCUUGACAUCCUUUGACAACUCUAGAGAUAGAGCCUUCCCCUUCGGGGGACAAAGUGACAGGUGGUGCAUGGUUGUCGUCAGCUCGUGUCGUGAGAUGUUGGGUUAAGUCCCGCAACGAGCGCAACCCUUAAGCUUAGUUGCCAUCAUUAAGUUGGGCACUCUAAGUUGACUGCCGGUGACAAACCGGAGGAAGGUGGGGAUGACGUCAAAUCAUCAUGCCCCUUAUGAUUUGGGCUACACACGUGCUACAAUGGACAAUACAAAGG
rnacentral:rRNA from 1 species